rnacentral:misc_RNA from 1 species
UGUGGGAGCUGGCUUGCCUGCGAUAGCGGUGGGUCAGCCAUACAUUUGGCACCUGAAGACCGCCAUCGCAGGCAAGCCAGCUCCCACA